rnacentral:rRNA from 1 species
GAUUUCCGUAGGUGAACCUGCGGAAGGAUCAUUA